GACGAACGCUGGCGGCGUGCCUAAUACAUGCAAGUCGAGCGGACGAAUCGAAAGCUUGCUUUUGAUUCGUUAGCGGCGGACGGGUGAGUAACACGUGGGCAACCUGCCCUGUAGACGGGGAUAACACCGAGAAAUCGGUGCUAAUACCGGAUAACACGAAAUGUCGCAUGACGUUUCGUUGAAAGACGGCGCAAGCUGCCGCUACAGGAUGGGCCCGCGGCGCAUUAGCUAGUUGGUGAGGUAACGGCUCACCAAGGCGACGAUACGUAGCCGACCUGAGAGGGUGAUCGGCCACACUGGGACUGAGACACGGCCCAGACUCCUACGGGAGGCAGCAGUAGGGAAUCUUCCGCAAUGGACGAAAGUCUGACGGAGCAACGCCGCGUGAGCGAAGAAGGCCUUCGGGUCGUAAAGCUCUGUUGUUAGGGAAGAACAAGUAACGCAGUAACUGGCGUUACCGUGACGGUACCUAACGAGAAAGCCACGGCUAACUACGUGC
rnacentral:rRNA from 1 species